UACGUAGGUGGCAAGCGUUGUUCGGAAUUACUGGGCGUAAAGAGCUCGUAGGUGGUUUGUCGCGUUGUUCGUGAAAACUCACAGCUUAACUGUGGGCGUGCGGUCGAUACGGGCAUCACUGGAGUUCGGCAGGGGAGACUGGAAUUCCUGGUGUAGCGGUGAAAUGCGCAGAUAUCAGGAGGAACACCGGUGGCGAAGGCGGCGUCCUGGACCAACACUGACACUGAGGAGCGAAAGCCAGGGAGCAAACGGG
rnacentral:rRNA from 1 species